rnacentral:rRNA from 1 species
UACGGAGGGGACUAGCGUUGUUCGGAAUUACUGGGCGUAAAGCGCACGUAGGCGGAUUUGUAAGUCAGGGGUGAAAUCCCGGGGCUCAACCUCGGAACUGCCUUUGAUACUGCAAAUCUCGAGUCCGGAAGAGGUGAGUGGAAUUCCGUAGUGUAGAGGUGAAAUUCGUAGAUAUUAGGAAGAACACCAGUGGCGAAGGCGGCUCACUGGUCCGGUACUGACGCUGAGGUGGCGAAAGCGUGGGGAGCAAACAGGG